GUACGGGAGGCAGCAGUGGGGAAUAUUGCACAAUGGGCGAAAGCCUGAUGCAGCAACGCCGCGUGAGCGAUGAAGGUCUUCGGAUCGUAAAGCUCUGUCCUCAAGGAAGAUAAUGACGGUACUUGAGGAGGAAGCCCCGGCUAACUACGUGCCAGCAGCCGCGGUAAUACGUAGGGGGCUAGCGUUAUCCGGAAUUACUGGGCGUAAAGGGUGCGUAGGCGGUCUUUCAAGCCAGAAGUGAAAGGCUACGGCUCAACCGUAGUAAGCUUUUGGAACUGUAAGACUUGAGUGCAGGAGAGGAGAGUGGAAUUCCUAAUGUAGCGGUGAAAUGCGUAGAUAUUAGGAGGAACACCAGUUGCGAAGGCGGCUCUCUGGACUGUAACUGACGCUGAGGCACGAAAGCGUGGGGAGCAAACAGGAUUAGAUACCCGUGUAGUCC
rnacentral:rRNA from 1 species